AAGUCGAGCGAACAGACGAGGAGCUUGCUCCUCUGACGUUAGCGGCGGACGGGUGAGUAACACGUGGAUAACCUACCUAUAAGACUGGGAUAACUUCGGGAAACCGGAGCUAAUACCGGAUAAUAUAUUGAACCGCAUGGUUCAAUAGUGAAAGACGGUUUUGCUGUCACUUAUAGAUGGAUCCGCGCCGCAUUAGCUAGUUGGUAAGGUAACGGCUUACCAAGGCAACGAUGCGUAGCCGACCUGAGAGGGUGAUCGGCCACACUGGAACUGAGACACGGUCCAGACUCCUACGGGAGGCAGCAGUAGGGAAUCUUCCGCAAUGGGCGAAAGCCUGACGGAGCAACGCCGCGUGAGUGAUGAAGGUCUUCGGAUCGUAAAACUCUGUUAUUAGGGAAGAACAAAUGUGUAAGUAACUAUGCACGUCUUGACGGUACCUAAUCAGAAAGCCACGGCUAACUACGUGCCAGCAGCCGCGGUAAUACGUAGGUGGCAAGCGUUAUCCGGAAUUAUUGGGCGUAAAGCGCGCGUAGGCGGUUUUUUAAGUCUGAUGUGAAAGCCCACGGCUCAACCGUGGAGGGUCAUUGGAAACUGGAGAACUUGAGUGCAGAAGAGGAAAGUGGAAUUCCAUGUGUAGCGGUGAAAUGCGCAGAGAUAUGGAGGAACACCAGUGGCGAAGGCGACUUUCUGGUCUGUAACUGACGCUGAUGUGCGAAAGCGU
rnacentral:rRNA from 1 species